GAUGAACGCUGGCGGCGUGCCUAAUACAUGCAAGUCGAGCGAACAGACGAGGAGCUUGCUCCUCUGACGUUAGCGGCGGACGGGUGAGUAACACGUGGAUAACCUACCUAUAAGACUGGGAUAAAUUCGGGACACCGGAGCUAAUACCGGAUAAUAUAUUGAACCACAUGGUUCAAUAGUGAAAGACGGUUUUGCUGUCACUUAUAGAUGGAUCCGCGCCGCAUUAGCUGGUUGGUAAGGUAACGGCUUACCACGGCAAGGAUGCGUAGCCGACCUGGAGGGGUGAUCGCCCACCCUGGAACGGAGACACGGCCCAGACUCCUACGGGAGGCAGCAGUGGGGAAUUUUCCGCAAGGGGGGAAAGCUGAACGGAGCAACGCCGGGUGAUGGAUGAAGUUCUUCGGAUCGUAAAACUCUGUUAUUAGGAAGGAAGAAAUGUGUAAGUAACUAUGCACGUCUUGACGGUACCUAAUCAGAAAGCCACGGCUAACUACGUG
rnacentral:rRNA from 1 species